GAUGAACGCUGGCGGCGUGCCUAAUACAUGCAAGUCGAACGCUGAAGGAGGAGCUUGCUCUUCUGGAUGAGUUGCGAACGGGUGAGUAACGCGUAGGUAACCUGCCUGGUAGCGGGGGAUAACUAUUGGAAACGAUAGCUAAUACCGCAUGACAACAGUUAUUGCAUGAUAACUGUUUAAAAGGAGCAACUGCUCCACUACCAGAUGGAGCUGCGUUGGAUUAGCUAGUUGGUGAGGUAACGGCUCACCAAGGCGACGAUACAUAGCCGACCUGAGAGGGGGGUCGGCCGCCCUGGGACUGUGACACGGCCCAGACUCCUACGGGCGGCAGCAGGAGGGAAUCUUCGGCCAUGGACGGAAGUCUGACCGAGCAACGCCGCGGGAGUGAAGAAGGUUGUCGGAUCGUAAAGGUCUGUUGUAAGAGAAGAACGAGUGUGAGAGUGGAAAGUUCACACUGUGACGGUAUCUGACCAGAAAGGGACGGCUAACUACGUG
rnacentral:rRNA from 1 species